rnacentral:rRNA from 1 species
AACGAACGCUGGCGGCAUGCCUAACACAUGCAAGUCGAACGAGACCUUCGGGUCUAGUGGCGCACGGGUGCGUAACGCGUGGGAACCUGCCCUUAGGUUCGGAAUAACACCCCGAAAGGGGUGCUAAUACCGGAUAAUGUCUUCGGACCAAAGAUUGAUCGCCUUUGGAUGGGCCCGCGUUGGACUGGCUAGUUGUUAGGGUAAAUGCCUACCAAGGCGACGAUCCAUAGCUGGUCUGAGAGGAAGAUCAGCCACACUGAGACUGAGACCCGGCCCAGACUCACACGAGAGGAAGCAGCGGGGAAUCAUGGACAAGGGGCGAAAGCCUGAUCCACCAAGGCCGCGAAAGUGAUGAAUGCCGGAGGGUUGUAAAGCUCUUUUACCCCGGAUGAUAAGAAGAGACCCGAGGGAAUAGGCUCCGGCUAACUCCUG